GGGUUUUAAAAUAUUUUUUAUAAAUUUAUAUUUAGAUAUUUUUAAAUAAUAAUUUCUUGAUAAUUGUCAAUAAUUUGAAUAAAAUAGAAUUACAAUGGACUGGCCAUUAAAAAAAUGAAAAUUACGUAUAGAAUUAGAAGGGGAAUGGUGCAUAAAAAUGAUUUAGGCAAUAGGAAUAAAAGCCUCAUAUCUAAAUUAUCACAUGACCCUGCAUAAACCUCUAGUCACUAUAUCAGCUUACAUAUUAUUAAUAUCCAUUUGUUGGCCUAUAUUUUCUUCCCUAGUCACCAAAAUUAAAGUGCUAGCACAUCUUGGGAGGGCAUUAUGGUGGCAAGAUAAAGAUGGAAGUUUUGGACCAUUCAUUAGGUGGUAUUCAUUUGUACUGAGAUACAAAGUGAGUGAAAAGAUGUCACUUCAAACGAAAAUAGAAUAAAAGGGCAGCCUUUCAUGUGUAAAAUAAAGCCAAGACUAGGGGAAAAUGCAGCCUUUCAUGUGUAAAAAAAAGCCAAGGCUAGAAAAAAAAAGAAAAAAAAAGGCAGCCUUUCUUGAGUAAAAAAAAAGGCCAAGGCUAGAAAAAAAUAAAUAAAUAAAAAGGUAGCCUUCUUGAGUAAAAAAAGCCAAGGCUAGAAAAAAAAAAGGAAGCCUUCUUGAGUAAAAAAAGCCAAGGCUCAAAAAAAAUAUCGAGCGAAAAAUAGAAAUGAUAAAAGAAUGCUCAAAAGAAUAAGUUGACCUGGUUAGAUGGUCGAAAAAUCUCAUGUUUGGGGUGUUGAGCUGUGAGAAAUUUGUAUGCAUUGACUGAUAUGUGAAAGAUGUUGUGAUGGAUGUGUUAGUAUUUUAAGAAUGAUGGUAAGCUACUUAACCAUAUAUUAUCCCACCUUUACCAAAAGCCCCAUUACUUCCCAAUGAAUAAGACCUUUUCAUUUAUGCAUCAUAUUGACUUGUGAGUGAUGAAUUUUUCUUGAAUUUGGGAGAAAGAUCUUAUGUGCUUAAAAUAAAGAAUAGCCGGAAGAACUUCUCUUUAGGAAUUAGUGACGAUGGUUUGAGACUCCCAAGACACAACUCGAACUUAUAUUGAAGCAUGGGAUGCCUAGGUCUUAGGGAAUUAGUUCGUGUACGAUUCUUGUUCGAAAGUUUUACCCGAGAGUGAAUUCACGGUUGACCUAAUUUCCCUACUGAUUCGUUGGCGUGACUUGAAGGAGAGGAUUAUCUAAUAUCUUCUGACUGUGCUUUAUUGUCUAACUUGCUCGAGGGCAAGCAAGACUUAAGUUAUGGGGGUGUUUGAUGUGAGUGGGUAAUUGUCUAACUUGUUCCUCGGAGUAUACAAUCGAAUGGAGGGUAGCGUAUCACUGCUCCAAGUCAGUUUUGACCACUUCGAUAUUAAGUGUCUCUCAAUUCAUACUAAAGCCAUUAAUGAACUACUGCAAAAAUUUUCUGAUGCUCUACAUUUUUCACUACUUAUAAAAUUGGAGUUGGUCUUGCUAUGUCCAAAAUCUGAAGAUCACGAUACCAGGAUGUGUGGUUAGUCAUUCUCUUCGUUGUACAUACAUUUAGAUAUAAUUUUUUGUUUAGUUGUAGGGAAUUGGAAUGCAUACAACAAUUUAUUAUUUUUAUUUCCUUGGAUUCUUUCUUGUCUGUAUGUAGGAAAGAAUUUCUGUUUGAGUCAGAUUAAAGAGCUGUGUGCCAAUCCUAUUGUAUUUGUGGCGACUGAGAUAAUUUCUAGAGCAGUCAUUUCAGGAAUCACAAAAAGAGUUGACACCGAUGAAUGUAAUCCAUCCACUGAUACACAUCUUCCUCGAUUGAUAACCUCUCUGGAAAUGUUGUGAUACACCCAAAAUUUUAAUUAUUAUUCCAGCAGUUGUGUUUGUCUACGACGGUUUGAUCAACUAGCACGGGACCAAGUUUUCUAUAGAUUGCAAACUUGAGUUUGCUCAUACUGCUUGCUCAUCUAAAUUCUGCUGCUGGGCUGCGCUGCAAGCAAAACUCGUUCCUUUGUUGAGAGCUCUACUUUACUGUUGAUCAAGUUCCAGAGAUGUCCACUUUUCUUCAAUAACCAUGUUUGAGCCUUGUUUCCAUUCAAUAUACAUCCAACACAUGUUAUCCCAGCUAGCCAUAUUCUUGCCAAGUGUCUUUUCUCAGCCCUCUUACAAUCUCUGCUCUUGAGGGCAAAUAAAAUCAAACUCAUGGGAGAAAGCUUUGGUUCUGCUUUCGGAUAGAAGUGUUAGUUCAUCUGAUUUUCCACCUCUUCACAUAAAUUUGGAGGGCUAUUCGGUCCAGCCCACGGGUUGCGGGCUACAUUUACAUCCCUACUAAUUUGGAUUUUAAGAUUGUUUAACUAUAUGAAGGAAAUUGGAUAGAAAAAAGUUAGAGAGACGUGAGUCCUACAUUUAUUAUACUCUAUCCGUCCAUGAAAUAUUGUCCAAGUUUGACUCGAUGCAGGU